rnacentral:rRNA from 1 species
GAUGAACGCUGACAGAAUGCUUAACACAUGCAAGUCAUUGGCGAAGCUGCGCUUGCGCAGUCUAGCCAAGGCGGACGGGUGAGUAACGCGUAAGGAACUUGCCCUGCAGACAGGGAUAACAGACGGAAACGACUGAUAACACCUGGUAUUGUCAGGCUGGCGCAUGCCGGCCUGAUGAAAGGAGACGCUGCAGGAGAGCCUUGCGUCCUAUUAGCUAGUUGGUGGGGUAACGGCCCACCAAGGCGAUGAUAGGUAGCCGGCCUGAGAGGGUGAACGGCCACAAGGGGACUGAGAUACGGCCCUUACUUCUACGGGAGGCAGCAGUGGGGAAUAGUGGACAAUGGGGGCAACCCUGAUCCAGCAAUUCUGUGUGCACGAAGAAGGUUUUCGGAUUGUAAAGUGCUUUCAGCAGGGAAGAAGAAAGUGACGGUACCUGCAGAAGAAGCGACGGCUAAAUACGUG